UGGCAAAAGGCGGCGGGGGGUGGAAGAACUGUGAGACAGGUAAAAUAUGUCGUAUGCUAGCCUUGUAGUUGCUUCCAGGAGUACGGUAGUACAUGCUCCUGACUGACUGCAGGGGCAGGUGGUGGAGGAUGAGGAGGGAAAGAAAGCCAGAAAGGGGAAGAGGAUGGAAGUUUCCAACAUUGACCAGGAUUUUUUGACGGACGAUUCCACCAUUUGUCGCUUUUGUCAUCCCCACAAAAAUUAAAAGACCUCUGCGUCUCUCUAUCUUUCCCUUAUCUCUCGUAUCUUUCCCUCUUCCUCAUGCUACCUACUUUGUGGUUUUUCCAUUCAUUAACGGCGGCCCGCAGUAGUCAUCACCAUUCACAGUAACAACAACUAGUACUACUAUUUAUUCCUACCUAACAGUAGACCACCGGCAUUCAAUUCUAACCGGCAAAUUUCUCCCAACUCCCUCCUCCUCCUCCUCCAAACCCUCCACUUGGAUCCCCAAAAAAAAAAACAGCAUCAGCAACAAGAAUAAUAAUAGAAACAGCUGCUGAACUUUUCCUCCUGAUUUUCUCUCUAAAUUUUGGGUCCAAUAAUAGAGCUGGGAGAGAGAGUCAUCGAAAAACAUGAGUUCCUAUCUACGCCAGAAAUUCCGAUUUUCUUCUAUCUGGUCGUCGUCUUCAUCAUCAUCGGAAGAGGAAAAAGAGACUGAGACUGAGAGGGAGCAACUGGCACCUCUAGAGCAUCAGGUGCAAGAAGAAGAAAAAGAUCAGCAAGAUACCUCCAAACUGGACGAGAUCGAGAGGACUAAAAUCAAGGUCAUGAGAGACCUGGUCCAAAGACAGGAUCCCUCUUCCAAGGACGUGGAUGACUUUAUGAUCAGGAGAUUUCUCAGAGCUCGUGAUCUCGACAUGGACAAGGCCUCAACUUUAUUUCUCAAGUACUUGAGCUGGAGAAAAGAAUUUGUUCCAAAUGGCUCCAUAUCUCCAUCAGAAAUUCCAAAUGAGCUUGCUCAUGAGAAAUUGUUCAUGCAAGGACAUGAUAAGUUGGGGCGUCCCGUUGUGGUGGUCUUUGGUGGACGUCAUAAACCCAAGAAUCUUGAAGAGUUCAAACGUUUUGUUACUUUCAGCCUUGACAAAAUAUGUGCUAGAAUGCCAAGUGGACAGGAGAAGUUUGUUUGCAUUGCUGACCUUGAAGGAUGGGGUAUACGAACAGUGAUGUUCGUGGUUACCUAGCAGCUUUAUCCAUUCUGCAGGAUUGCUAUCCAGAGAGGCUAGGCAAGCUAUUCAUAGUCCAUGUACCUUACAUCUUCAUGACUGCAUGGAAGGUUGUCUACCCAUUUAUUGACAGCAAAACAAAGAAGAAGAUUGUAUUCGUUGAGGACAAAAAACUAGGAUCAACCUUGCAACGUGACAUUGAUGAGAGUCAACUUCCGGAGACAUACGGAGGCAAACUACCACUAGUUGCAAUUCAGGAUUGCUGAAUGCAGAUAUCCGAUGAUCUUUACCUAGUCUUUUCUGCUUAAUUGGCUUCACUUGUUGGAGGUGCAGAAAUCUCACGUCUGUCCCCGCGGAGCAAAACUUCAGUCCUAUCCUAUGGCAUCAUCAGCAUAUAGAUAAAUUUGUUGGUGUCGGAACAUCUUUUACUGCACCAUUAUUCUUUUAGUAGGCACCCGUUAUAAUUUUACUGAACCACGAAGGGACGUCUGUUGUCAUUAUAGUAAUACGUAUACGAUUUGCUUAACCAGCUGAUCUCGGCUUUUGAACUUCAUUAUGUACCCAUUUACUUCCAACUAUAAUAACACUCAAUAGCAACUUUUGUUUUGUAAAUCGUUUCUUCAGGCGUUGUCCCA